rnacentral:lncRNA from 1 species
GAAUUUAUAAGACUGAAUUUGGUUUUGAGAAAUAUAUCUCUGAUCUCCCAACUGAUUUGAUGUACAUUGUAUAAUAUUAUUAAAUUUAGAUGUGGAAGUCACAAGUUGCCAAUUGAGGCUGGUAGAUUUUUUUCUAUUGAUAGAUCAGAAAGAAUUUGUGAUCUAUGUGAGAAGGAACAACUAGGUGAUGAGUUUCAUUACAUAUUUAAUUGUAACUUUUUUAAUGAUGAAAGACAGAAA